rnacentral:rRNA from 1 species
AUUGAACGCUGGCGGCAUGCCUUACACAUGCAAGUCGAACGGCAGCACAGGUGCUUGCACCUGGUGGCGAGUGGCGAACGGGUGAGUAAUACAUCGGCACAUGUCCUGUAGUGGGGGAUAGCCCGGCGAAAGCCGGAUUAAUACCGCAUACGAUCUACGGAUGAAAGCGGGGGACCUUCGGGCCUCGCGCUAUAGGGUUGGCCGAUGGCUGAUUAGCUAGUUGGUGGGGUAAAGGCCUACCAAGGCGACGAUCAGUAGCUGGUCUGAGAGGACGACCAGCCACACUGGGACUGAGACACGGCCCAGAGUCCUACGGGAGGCAGCAGUGGGGAAUUUUGGACAAUGGGCGAAAGCCUGAUCCAGCAAUGCCGCGUGUGUGAAGAAGGCCUUCGGGUUGUAAAGCACUUUUGUCCGGAAAGAAAGCCUUGGCCCUAAUACGGUCGGGGGAUGACGGUACCGGAAGAAUAAGCACCGGCUAACUACGUG